CCUACGGGAGGCAGCAGUGAGGAAUAUUGGUCAAUGGCCGGAAGGCUGAACCAGCCAAGCCGCGUGAAGGACGAAGGUGCCAAGCAUUGUAAACCUCUUUUGCCGGGGAGCAACGGGCGUCACGUGUGGCGCCACUGAGAGUACCCGGAGAAAAAGCAUCGGCUAACUCCGUGCCAGCAGCCGCGGUAAUACGGAGGAUGCGAGCGUUAUCCGGAUUUAUUGGGUUUAAAGGGUGCGUAGGCGGAUCGUUAAGUCAGUGGUCAAAUUGAGGGGCUCAACCCCUUCCCGCCAUUGAAACUGGCGUUCUUGAGUGGAAGAGAAGUAUGCGGAAUGCGUGGUGUAGCGGUGAAAUGCGUAGAUAUCACGCAGAACCCCGAUUGCGAAGGCAGCAUGCCGGCUUCCGACUGACGCUGAGGCACGAAAGCGUGGGGAUCGAACAGGAUUAGAUACCCGAGUAGUC
rnacentral:rRNA from 1 species